GACGUCCACCCCACCGCCGGCGGCUUCGCCGGCGCCGGAGACGCCAUCUACUCGUCAUAUUACGCUUAGAUUCCACUCAUUACAUGCAUGCAUGCAGAUGCUACAAACGACGCUGUAAAUUAACUAAAGUCUCCAUAUUAAUUAGUGAUAUUACACAAUUGUGACUGCACAAUAAUUAGGAACCAGAGGGGGUAGUUUAUGUGUUAGGGAAUUUAUAGUGCAAUGACUAGUAUGCUGUUUAUGAAAUUAAAUAAGUUACCGUAUAAUAUAAAAUAUAGUAUAACAAGUGAUUAAAUAAAGAAAAAGAAGGAACUCAUGUCUUAUAUGUGAUAUGUUUUCUACACGACAUUCAAACAUAAU
rnacentral:lncRNA from 1 species